UACGGAGGGAGCUAGCGUUAUUCGGAAUUACUGGGCGUAAAGCGCACGUAGGCGGCUUUGUAAGUUAGAGGUGAAAGCCUGGAGCUCAACUCCAGAAUUGCCUUUAAGACUGCAUCGCUUGAAUCCAGGAGAGGUGAGUGGAAUUCCGAGUGUAGAGGUGAAAUUCGUAGAUAUUCGGAAGAACACCAGUGGCGAAGGCGGCUCACUGGACUGGUAUUGACGCUGAGGUGCGAAAGCGCGGGGAGCAAACAGGG
rnacentral:rRNA from 1 species